rnacentral:rRNA from 1 species
GAUGAACGCUGGCGGCGUGCCUAAUACAUGCAAGUCGAGCGAAUGGAUUAAGAGCUUGCUCUUAUGAAGUUAGCGGCGGACGGGUGAGUAACACGUGGGUAACCUGCCCAUAAGACUGGGAUAACUCCGGGAAACCGGGGCUAAUACCGGAUAACAUUUUGAACCGCAUGGUUCGAAAUUGAAACGCGGCUUCGGCUGUCACUUAUGGAUGGACCCGCGGCGCAUUAGCUAGUUGGUGAGGUCACGGCUCACCAAGGCAACGAUGCGUAGCCGACCUGAGAGGGUGAUAGGCCACACUGGGACUGGGACACGGCCCAGACUCCUACGGGAGGUAGCAGUAGGGAAUCUUCCGCAAUGGACGAAAGUCUGACGGAGCAACGCCGCGUGAGUGAUGAAGGCUUUCGGGUCGUAAAACUCUGUUGUUAGGGAAGAACAAGUGCUAGUUGAAUAAGCUGGCACCUUGACGGUACCUAACCAGAAAGCCACGGCUAACUACGUGCCAGCCGCCGCGGUAA